UUCUUCUUCAAAUCCCUAGCUCCAUCCCACUCACAAAUCCCUAGCUCCAUCUCACACUACUCCAAUUCAGUGCAACGGCCUCUUUCCUCAGUAAGUUGUAUAGUGACUAUCUCCAAGCCCUAAGAAGGUCUGGUGGAAGCUGCACUGAUCAUAGCUUCUCCAUUGAAAUGCUUAGGACCUUCUCCACAUCUCAGGUCAUGGCCAGGAGGCAGAGAAUAACUUUCCCACCGAAUUUUGUUCACUCGCUCGAUUGUUCUCAUAUGAUGAUGCCAAAUAUUCAUGCCAAAUAUUUUGUUCACCGAAUUUUCUCCUCAUUUCAAAUGCCUCACCGCAUGCAUCUGUUGGUCUCCUUAUCAUGCAACCAUACUUCUGUGCACAUGAAUAUUAAGGGAAAUAGAGGGCACAGAGACUCCUCGAGGAACAUGCUACUGCACCAGAUACAUCUUAUCUUGCAGAUGUGAGAAAGUUAUCAUAGGUAUGAUGUCCAUUCACUUUGCAAAAAAGCCUUGAGCUCAGACCUAGACAGUAGUAGACAUACCCCUAGCUGAAAAGAAAAGCCCCAUUUCAUUUUCUUCUUCAUAUUCCCCUAUACACUCUCAAAUCCCUAGCUCUCUCUCACUCUAAUCUCUCUAUCUCUCAGUUUAAAUCAAACCCCAGACCCCAUUAUUCUUCCCCUCUCUCUCGUAUUCCCGUCUCCCUCUCACUCUAGCUCUCUCUGUCUCUCUCAUUCGAAGUUCACAUACCAACUUCUAACCGAAGGAACUCGGAAUCAUCUAGCCGAAAGGUAGUGAUUCCAAGAAAGGUGGUGGUGGAGGUUCGCAAGAUGGGAAGAUUGGGUCUAGCAAUGUCCUCACGAACUAGUACACAGGUAAAGCUUGGUUCUUUUUUUCUUGUUCUGUUUUUGGGAAGACUUGAAUUUGGUUUUUUUUUUUCUGAUCUGCUCUAACUGUGAGUAUUUUAUCACAAAUUGUCUUUGUUGCUUGAACUUUCAGCUUCUUAAUUUGAUGGCUUGUAUUAAAUAGGGUCACACGUUGCGACUUCUGUCCAGAUUCCUUAGAUCGAUCAAUAGGCAAGCUAUUGAUGCUUAAACAAAAGAUUGCUUCAGCCACCUCAGCCAUCAAAUCUGUUUUCGGCCAAGAACAGCCCAAGUAGGAUGCGACUGACAAACUGGAGUGACUAAGGGAGAGGAUGAUCAAAGUGCGGGAGCUUUUUCGGGACAUUGAUUCAACAAAAUUUGUUAUUGUAACAAUUCC